rnacentral:rRNA from 1 species
AUACAGAGGGUGCAAGCGUUAAUCGGAAUUACUGGGCGUAAAGCGCGCGUAGGCGGUUUGAUAAGUCGGAUGCGAAAGCCCUGGGCUUAACCUGGGAACGGCAUUCGAAACUGUCAGACUAGAGUAUGGUAGAGGGAAGUGGAAUUCCAGGUGUAGCGGUGAAAUGCAUAGAUAUCUGGAGGAACAUCAGUGGCGAAGGCGGCUUCCUGGACCAAUACUGACGCUGAGGUGCGAAAGCGUGGGGAGCAAACAGAAUUAGAUACCCCAGUAGUCC